AACCUUUGGAAUUAAAUGUUUUUUAAUAUCUCCAAUAUAAUAAUGCGCAUUGUUUUAUUUAAUUCUGUCUACUUUUUACAGUGAGUACUCCUAGUUCUGUCAACCAGAGCACGAUAUACAAGAGCCAAAGCAGAGGUAUGAAGCCAGUUUUCCUAUUAUAUGGUUUUUGGUGAUGUAAUUGGUCUAAAAUCUUGCACUCCAAAUGGUGUUAUUAAGAUAUUUUAAAGGUAACAUUCCUGUUAACUAUAUAAAUUAUAUUUAUUUUCAUUUUAAAUUUGUGUUAUUCUAAUUUUAGUUCUAUAAUUGCUGAUUGACCAACAACAGAGGUAUUUGGGUGUAGUUUAAUUCUCAGGACAUAUAUUGCAAGUUUACUCGGAUGGAAUAAAUAAAUAAUUGUUCUGUAUUUAGGUUUCCGAAGCCAAUAUUUUGGUAGUAGCCAUUAGAAAGCCAGAAUUUAUUUUUAUGUCAUGGAUAAAACCAGGAUUACUACAUGAACAAUUGACAUUUUUACAUCAAUUA